GGGAAUGAGGCUUAGUGGUAGAGUGCUUGCCUAGCAUGCAUGAAGCCCUGGGUUCAAUUCCUCAGCACCA
rnacentral:tRNA from 1 species